CACCGCUCAGGCCCUGCCUGGUGUUGGGGACCGCGGGAUCUCCCAGGAGAGACCGCGGCCCCGAAAUGCAGCGGCGGCUCCCGCGGGCACCUCCCUAGCGCAGUAAGAUAGCACCUCGCUGCCGCUUCGGAGUUCGUGGGACGCCUGCCUCGAAUUCGAGACGUGCUCCUCGCAGCCCGCUCAACUCUCUCAGG
rnacentral:misc_RNA from 1 species